rnacentral:rRNA from 1 species
CGAACGCUGGCGGCAGGCUUAACACAUGCAAGUCGAACGGGUGUCGCAAGACAUCAGUGGCAGACGGGUGAGUAACACGUGGGAACCUUCCUAGGGGUACGGAACAACUCAGGGAAACUUGAGCUAAUACCGUAUACGUCCGUAAGGAGAAAGAUUUAUCGCCCUUAGACGGGCCCGCGUCGGAUUAGCUAGUUGGUGGGGUAACGGCCUACCAAGGCGACGAUCCGUAGCUGAUCUGAGAGGAUGAUCAGCCACACUGGGACUGAGAUACGGCCCAGACUCCUACGGGAGGCAGCAGUGGGGAAUCUUGGACAAUGGGCGCAAGCCUGAUCCAGCCAUGCCGCGUGAGUGAAGAAGGCCUUAGGGUUGUAAAGCUCUUUUACCAGGGACGAUAAUGACGGUACCUGGAGAAUAAGCCCCGGCAAACUUCGUGCCAGCAGCCGCGGUAAUACGAAGGGGGCUAGCGUUGUUCGGAAUUACUGGGCGUAAAGCGCACGUAGGCGGGUCGUUAAGUCAGGGGUGAAAUCCCGGAGCUCAACUCCGGAACUGCCUUUGAUACUGGCGAUCUAGAGGUCGAGAGAGGUGAGUGGAAUUCCGAGUGUAGAGGUGAAAUUCGUAGAUAUUCGGAAGAACACCAGUGGCGAAGGCGGCUCACUGGCUCGAUACUGACGCUGAGGUGCGAAAGCGUGGGGAGC